GAUCCUGGCUAGGACGAACGCUGGCGGCGUGCUUAACACAUGCAAGUCGAACGAAGCGGCAGUGAAGGAGGCUUCGGCCAAUGGAUCUGUCGACUUAGUGGCGGACGGGUGAGUAACGCGUGAGCAACCUGCCUUUCAGAGGGGGAUAACGUUUGGAAACGAACGCUAAUACCGCAUGAAGUAUCUUUGCUGCAUGACAGAGAUACCAAAGGAGCAAUCCGCUGAAAGAUGGGCUCGCGUCCGAUUAGAUAGUUGGUGGGGUAACGGCCUACCAAGUCGACGAUCGGUAGCCGGACUGAGAGGUUGAACGGCCACAUUGGGACUGAGACACGGCCCAGACUCCUACGGGAGGCAGCAGUGGGGAAUAUUGCACAAUGGGCGAAAGCCCUGAUGCAGCAACGCCGCGUGAGGGAAGACGGUUUUCGGAUUGUAAACCUUUGUCCUUGGUGAAGAUAGUGACGGUAGCCGAGGAGGAAGCCACGGCUAACUACGUGCCAGCCGCUGC
rnacentral:rRNA from 1 species